rnacentral:rRNA from 1 species
CCUACGGGAGGCAGCAGUGAGGAAUAUUGGUCAAUGGCCGUAAGGCUGAACCAGCCAAGUCGCGUGAAGGAAGAAGGAUCUAUGGUUUGUAAACUUCUUUUAUAGGGGAAUAAAGGUAUCCACGUGUGGAUCUUUGCAUGUACCCUAUGAAUAAGCAUCGGCUAACUCCGUGCCAGCAGUCGCGGUAAUACGGAGGAUGCGAGCGUUAUCCGGAUUUAUUGGGUUUAAAGGGUGCGUAGGUUGUUUUUUAAGUCAGCGGUGAAAGUUUGUGGCUCAACCAUAAAAUUGCCGUUGAAACUGGAAGACUUGAGUGUGUUUGAGGUAGGCGGAAUGCGUGGUGUAGCGGUGAAAUGCAUAGAUAUCACGCAGAACUCCGAUUGCGAAGGCAGCUUACUAAGCCAUAACUGACACUGAAGCACGAAAGCGUGGGGAUCAAACAGGAUUAGAUACCCCGGUAGUC